GUCAUUGAAAAUUGAAAAUUCGCGUCGCGUUGCCAAAUCGCGUUCGGUCUGUUUGAGCCUUUAGACCCAGGCACUAGCGUCUUACAGAUUUAAGUAUUCCAGACCCACACAUCAGAGCUUGUAUAUGAACCAUAGGUUGUCGAUCGUUCAUCUGUGUUUUUACAAUGCAGCUUAUACCGGCUUCAAGUAAAAGUGAUCAUAAACCCGCUGCUCUUUUCCUUUGCCUUCUCCAUUCCCUUUCCCGUUCAAUUUCCCUUCCCCUUAUUAUCAUUAUCAUUAUAGCCAACUUCAAUACAAAAUAUCCCGCAUUUCGAUUUACACAAAAAAAGUCGAAUAUUGAAAAUCAGGCAAUUUAAUUAAAGUGAAUCACCCGUGUUACGCAUCCACAUUUUUCUCAGUUUUACAAGCAACAUAUGGCUAUAUAUCAAAACAAACUACUGCCUACACGAUGAAACAACUAAUGUUCAUUCGAUGAAACAAAGAAACAAACUAACAGUUCCAGAAGCUGUUUGACUUAAUCAGGCUGAUUCAACGACCUGAACAAGUGGACUCUCUCUUGCAAUACGAGGCCUACUCUGGGGCGGUAAAUCGCCUUAAAUCGCUGCGAUAUAAUGCGAUUUUGGGCGAUUUUAGGCGAUUUAAGAAAAAACUGGGAAUUUCAAGCACUGCGAUUUAAUGCGAUUU